rnacentral:rRNA from 1 species
UGGGGAAUUUUGGGCAAUGGGCGAAAGCCUGACCCAGCAACGCCGCGUGAAGGACGAAAUCCCUCUGGGAUGUAAACUUCGAAAGUCGGGAAAGAAAUCCCUGGGGUUAAUACCCCCGGGGGAUUCCGGUACCCGACGUAAGCCCCGGCUAACUACGUGCCAGCAGCCGCGGUAAUACGUAGGGGGCAAGCGUUGUUCGGAAUUACUGGGCGUAAAGGGCGCGUAGGCGGCAUGGCAAGUCAGGAGUGAAAGCCCGGGGCUCAACCCCGGAACUGCUUUUGAAACUGCCGAGCUCGAGUGCGGAAGAGGCAACUGGAAUUCCCAGUGUAGCGGUGAAAUGCGUAGAUAUUGGGAAGAACACCGGAGGCGAAGGCGGGUUGCUGGGCCGACACUGACGCUGAGGCGCGAAAGCCAGGGGAGCAA